rnacentral:rRNA from 2 species
GAUGAACGCUAGCUACAGGCUUAACACAUGCAAGUCGAGGGGCAGCAUGGUCUUAGCUUGCUAAGGCCGAUGGCGACCGGCGCACGGGUGAGUAACGCGUAUCCAACCUGCCUUACACUCUUGGACAGCCUUCUGAAAGGGAGAUUAAUACAAGAUGUUAUCAUGAGUAAGCAUUUUCGCAUGAUUAAAGGUUUACCGGUGUAAGAUGGGGAUGCGUUCCAUUAGAUAGUAGGCGGGGUAACGGCCCACCUAGUCUUCGAUGGAUAGGGGUUCUGAGAGGAAGGUCCCCCACAUUGGAACUGAGACACGGUCCAAACUCCUACGGGGGGCAGCAGUGAGGAAUAUUGGUCAAUGGACGAGAGUCUGAACCAGCCAAGUAGCGUGAAGGAUGAAGGUUCUAUGGAUUGUAAACUUCUUUUAUACGGGAAUAAACGAAUCCACGUGUGGAUUUUUGCAUGUACCGUAUGAAUAAGGAUCGGCUAACUCCGUGCCAGCAGCCGCGGUAAUACGGAGGAUCCGAGCGUUAUCCGGAUUUAUUGGGUUUAAAGGGAGCGUAGAUGGGUUGUUAAGUCAGUUGUGAAAGUUUGCGGCUCAACCGUAAAAUUGCAAUUGAUACUGGCAGUCUUGAGUAUAGUUGAGGUAGGCGGAAUUCGUGGUGUAGCGGUGAAAUGCUUAGAUAUCACGAAGAACUCCGAUUGCGAAGGCAGCUUACUAACCUGUAACUGACAUUGAUGCUCGAAAGUGUGGGUAUCAAACAGGAUUAGAUACCCUGGUAGUCCACACGGUAAACGAUGAAUACUCGCUGUAGGCGAUAUACAGUCUGCGGCCAAGCGAAAGCAUUAAGUAUUCCACCUGGGGAGUACGCCGGCAACGGUGAAACUCAAAGGAAUUGACGGGGGCCCGCACAAGCGGAGGAACAUGUGGUUUAAUUCGAUGAUACGCGAGGAACCUUACCCGGGCUUAAAUUGCAACCGAAUAUGGCGGAAACGCUAUAGCUAGCAAUAGCGGUUGUGAGGGUGCUGCAUGGUUGUCGUCAGCUCGUGCCGUGAGGUGUCGGCUUAAGUGCCAUAACGAGCGCAACCCUUGCCGAUAGUUACUAACAGGUUAUGCUGAGGACUCUGUCGGGACUGCCAUCGUAAGAUGUGAGGAAGGUGGGGAUGACGUCAAAUCAGCACGGCCCUUACGUCCGGGGCUACACACGUGUUACAAUGGCGUUAAACAAAGAGAAGCAAGACCGCGAGGUGGAGCAAAACUCAAAAACAACGUCUCAGUUCAGAUUGCAGGCUGCAACUCGCCUGCAUGAAGUCGGAAUUGCUAGUAAUCGCGGAUCAGCAUGCCGCGGUGAAUACGUUCCCGGGCCU